rnacentral:snoRNA from 1 species
ACUCUCUGUGAUGCUUCAUAACCUACAUUGGUUGAGUUAAUUCCAAUGAGAACUCUCAUGCACUACCAUCUGAGACAGU